CAUUGCAAUUGCGAUAGCCAUAAAAUAGAAUUUUCUAAAACUGGAGAACAAGCUGAUAUGCUUCAUCCAGCAGAGCUGCAGGCUAUUUUUCAUGAUUGUACAUAUAUUGUGUUGAUUAUGAUGAAUCCAAACGAUUUUAUAUAGGAAGCAAAAAGCAGGGAGAGUGGGAAAUAGUCUGCCUUCUGCCAGCCAGCAGAAGCUUGUGAAAAGGAUUAAAGAUGAAUAUGUCUUAUGAAAUUGUUACUACUCUGACUUAUACUGAGAAUGGACCAUCCUGAACUACAAUGGCUGACAAAAAACAACACUGAAAAAAUGUUCUGCUAUGAAAUCUAAAAAGUCAUCAGAUGUAAUAUUAAAGGCUGAAACUAAGAAGUCUGGGUGCCUGUUUCUACCACUGUGUUUGGAAUAUAAACCAGAAUUGCUCUUUACCUCUGAAGAAUGAGUUAAGAGGAGAAAAAAGCUCCAUAUAUCUUUUGUAACAUUGCAAGAUAUUUGAUGAUUGCAUCCAGAUGUUGUGUCACAGAUACCUCUACAUGAAACCCUCUGGCACAACGUGAUACAGCGGUGCAGUCUGGUCUAGAGGAUGAAGAAAACAAACUGACAUUAUUUAUCAAUUGGAAAAGUUGAAUCCAGGGAAACAAAUUAUGUAUAAACAUUCCAAGUAUAAAA